GGCUUCAGAACCAUGAAUGUAUAAAGAGAACUGUAUAAAGAUGAAUAAAGUUCACUUUAUACAUCCAUGUUCAAAGCCGGAGUCCACAAACCGAUCAAAAAAGUGGAUGCGUUCCAUUCAAGUCCAAUCUCCUUUUCUCUCUUUGUCUUCAACAGUGCAUGCAACGACUCAGCAAGCAGUGCGUGGGAGGACAGAGACCAUAUACAAUAAAGUAGCUGCUUGAAACUUUCAGCUUUAAGCAUAAAGGAUAUUGGAUUAUGCAUCCCAGUCCUUCUUGGUAAACUGAGACAUCCACCAUGGCCUUAAACAAUUCAGGGACAAGGCUGCUUCUGCAAAGUUCAUGUGAGGUUAUGAAUCAACUAUCCAUCCACCAGAACAACUCCAUUAAAAGUUACAGGAUUGGUUUUAAAUGACUUUAAAAUCUCCAACCUGGAAGGAUGACAGGAUACCGUAACGAACAUCCAAGCUGCUCAGGAGUGCUCUGAUGCUUUAUAGUUCAAUUUUGUAAUUUCUUUAUGUGGUUCAAGCAUUGGGAGGCUUUACUCUUAAGCAGAAAUGAAAGGGUUUCAUCCUAAAACUGUAAAGUUACAAAACAUGUAUUCAUUAUGCAGUCAAUAGUUGGUCAAAAUCAAACCAGUCUUGCACCAAUAAAACAUAAGAAAUUGUUAAAAACCCCUUUUUAAUUUAGAGUUGCCUCAUUAAAACACUGCAUUGUUCUGAUCCAAACAAGACUCCCCAGCUUGAAACACAGUUUAUAUAAUGCUGCAUUAAGCACACACUGUAUCUACAGCAGGCAUGAUAUCAACUGGCAGCGCUCAGCUGAAAGCAGCUGGCUGAUAAGACUUUCCCUUGUUCUACUGAUAAAAACCACAUAGCGGGAUUUGACCUCGCCAACAUGGCGGCAUAGUUUUGAUGUAGGCUGUCACAGGUUAGAGGUAGAUAAAGACUAGAAAUGUAUAUAAGCUUGCCUGCUCUCGAUAGAGAGAAUAUUGACAGUUUCUUGCCCAGAUGAAAUGCUGCAUAUAAACAGAGGAGAUUGUUAUCACAUUAUUUUGAGGAAGUUAGUCCCGUUAAUAAUUUAAUAGGCUGCAGGGAAACUGGCUAUUCUUGU